CCCUACGGGAGGCAGCAGUGGGGAAUAUUGGGCAAUGGGCGAAAGCCUGACCCAGCGACGCCGCGUGGGUGAUGAAGGCCUUCGGGUUGUAAAGCCCUUUCGUGCGGAAAGAACUGUCCCGCGGUGAAUACCCGCGGGAUCUGACGGUACCGCAGGAAGAAGCACCGGCUAACUCCGUGCCAGCAGCCGCGGUAAUACGGAGGGUGCAAGCGUUGUUCGGAAUUAUUGGGCGUAAAGGGCGCGUAGGUGGUUGUGAUAGUCAGAUGUGAAAUCCUCUGGCUCAACUGGAGAACUGCAUCUGAAACUUCAUAACUCGAGUACAGGAGAGGGAAACGGAAUUCCCGGUGUAGAGGUGAAAUUCGUAGAUAUCGGGAGGAACACCAGUGGCGAAGGCGGUUUCCUGGCCUGAUACUGACACUGAGGCGCGAAAGCGUGGGGAGCAAACAGGAUUAGAUACCCCGGUAGUCG
rnacentral:rRNA from 1 species